rnacentral:rRNA from 1 species
UUGUCCAGGGGGCCGCCUUCGCCACCGGUAUUCCUCCAGAUCUCUACGCAUUUCACCGCUACACCUGGAAUUCUACCCCCCUCUACAAGACUCUAGAUGGACAGUUUUAAAUGCAAUUCCCAGGUUGAGCCCGGGGAUUUCACAUCUGACUUAUCCAACCGCCUGCGUGCGCUUUACGCCCAGUAAUUCCGAUUAACGCUUGCACCCUCCGUAUUACCGCGGCUGCUGGCACGGAGUUAGCCGGUGCUUCUUCUGCGAGUAACGUCACAUCUGGCAGUUAUUAGCUACCAACCUUUCCUCCUCGCUGAAAGUGCUUUACAACCCGAAGGCCUUCUUCACACACACGGCAUGGCUGCAUCAGGGUUUCCCCCAUUGUGCAAUAUUCCCCACUGCUGCCUCCC